rnacentral:misc_RNA from 1 species
GAUGAAGAACGUAGCGAAAUGCGAUAAGUAAUGUGAAUUGCAGAAUUCAGUGAAUCAUCGAAUCUUUGAACGCACAUUGCGCCCGCUGGUACUCCGGCGGGCACGCCUGUCCGAGCGUCAUUUCAACCCUCAAGCCCUCCUUCGGGAUGGGCCUGGUGUUGGGGCUCGGCCGCCAUCUCCGGCGGCCGUCCCCUAAAUACAGUGGCGGUCACGUCGCGACUCCUUUGCGUAGUAGAAACACCUCGCUCCGGAUAGCAACGCGGUCCACGCCGUAAAACCCCCAAUUUUCAAUGGUUGACCUCGGAUCAGGUGGGAAUACCCGCUGAACUUAAGCAUAUCAAUAAGCGGAGGA